AGAGUUUGAUCCUGGCUCAAAUUGAACGCUAGCGGGAUGCUUUACACAUGCAAGUCGAACGGCAGCACGAGAGAGCUUGCUCUCUUGGUGGCGAGUGGCGGACGGGUGAGUAAUAUAUCGGAACGUGCCCAGUCGCGGGGGAUAACUACUCAAAAGAGUGGCUAAUACUGCAUACACCCUACGGGGGAAAGGGGGGGAUCGCAAGACCUCUCACUAUUGGAGCGGCCGAUAUCGGAUUAGCUAGUUGGUGGGGUAAAGGCUCACCAAGGCAACGAUCCGUAGCUGGUUUGAGAGGACGACCAGCCACACUGGGACUGAGACUCGGCCCACACUCCUACGGGAGGCAGCAGUGGGGAAUUUUGGACAAUGGGGGAAACCCUGAUCCAGCCAUCCCGCGUGUAUGAUGAAGGCCUUCGGGUUGUAAAGUACUUUUGGCAGAGAAGAAAAGGCAUCCCCUAAUACGGGAUGCUGCUGACGGUAUCUGCAGAAUAAGCACCGGCUAACUACGUGCCAGCAGCCGCGGUAAUACGUAGGGUGCAAGCGUUAAUCGGAAUUACUGGGCGUAAAGCGUGUGUAGGCGGUUCGGAAAGAAAGAUGUGAAAUCCCAGGGCUCAACCUUGGAACUGCAUUUUUAACUGCCGAGCUAGAGUAUGUCAGAGGGGGGUAGAAUUCCACGUGUAGCAGUGAAAUGCGUAGAUAUGUGGAGGAAUACCGAUGGCGAAGGCAGCCCCCUGGGAUAAUACUGACGCUCAGACACGAAAGCGUGGGGAGCAAACAGGAUUAGAUACCCUGGUAGUCCACGCCCUAAA
rnacentral:rRNA from 1 species